rnacentral:ncRNA from 2 species
UAUAUAUUAGGAAACGAUGAAAUGCGCUUGUUGUCUGGGCACUUUAGGCGCGUGGAGUUAGUGGUGCAACCGGCCGAGUACAUU